UACGAAGGGGGCUAGCGUUGUUCGGAAUCACUGGGCGUAAAGCGCAUGCAGGCGGAUCGCUAAGUCGGGGGUGAAAUCCUGGAGCUCAACUCCAGAACUGCCUUUGAUACUGAAGAUCUUGAGUCCGGGAGAGGUGAGUGGAACUGCGAGUGUAGAGGUGAAAUUCGUAGAUAUUCGCAAGAACACCAGUGGCGAAGGCGGCUCACUGGCCCGGUACUGACGCUGAGGCACGAAAGCGUGGGGAGCAAACAGG
rnacentral:rRNA from 1 species